rnacentral:ncRNA from 1 species
CCAAAGUCGUUGUACAGGCGAUGGCUUUAAACCACCUAAAGGUGCUUUGGUAAAGAGCCAGGGUGCUGAGCGUUUAGGAGAAUCUAAUCCAAGAGGUUAGCAGG